rnacentral:rRNA from 1 species
UACGUAGGGUGCGAGCGUUAAUCGGAAUUACUGGGCGUAAAGCGUGCGCAGGCGGUUAUGUAAGACAGAUGUGAAAUGCCCGGGCUUAACCUGGGAACUGCAUUUGUGACUGCAUGGCUAGAGUUUGGCAGAGGGGGGUAGAAUUCCACGUGUAGCAGUGAAAUGCGUAGAUAUGUGGAGGAACACCGAUGGCGAAGGCAGCCCCCUGGGUCAAGACUGACGCUCAUGCACGAAAGCGUGGGGAGCGAACAGG